rnacentral:lncRNA from 1 species
GCGCCAGGCGCAAGCCCCCUCCUCUCCUGGGGCAGCCAGCUCUGGAGUCUGCUGCCGGCUCGCUGCGUGAGAGAACGGCCGGCACGGGCGAGCGUCGGGGUGUGCGUGCGUGCGCGCGCGCGCGCGCGGCGGUGCGGGCGCUGCGUGGGGCGGGCUCGCCCGCGCACGCUCACUCAGCCGCCGAGCGGUCCUCAGCGUCUCGGGCCCGCGACCGCUGCCGCGAGGAGCGUGGGGCACCGGGACUUGGGGUCUCGCGGUUCCCCGGAAUGCAAGAGACACGCCUAUCUCUGGGCCGCGCGGUCGCGGCUCUCCAAGCUGGGCCGCCCCAGCCCCAGCCUGCCCGCCCGCUCCUCGGGAACCAGCCCCUCAGGCGCGGGACCCCGCGCUGGGUCUACUCUUCGCUUUCGCGUGGCGGCCGCCAGGUGGCGCCGAAGGCAGCCGCUCCAGCCUCGGAAACAGGGAUGGUCCAUCAAGGCCUUGAGGGUGAUGGGGGCUUGCCCCCCUGUCUCUCCAAAACGGGCUGUGCCACGCAGGCACCUCAUCAGACUUCUCUGGUCGUGAGGUCCUAGGCCCAGACCACAGACAUAAGGGAGGUCAGGAACAGCUUAUACCCUGAGGUGGUCAUAAACCAGUGAUAGCUUAGAAGGUGAAAGGGCUGUUCUAGAAGCUGGCCCAGCAGAGAUCUCCUCUGCUGGCUUCUGCUCGCUUUGCAGUGGCAUCAGUGGGGCAAUAACUGUUGGGGGAUCCAUGGCAGGUAAGGGCAAGAAGGUUGUGGGGUUUCUUUCUCUCUCUCUCUUUUAUUAUUAUUAUUUUUUGCUUUUUAGGGCUGCACUGGCGGCAUAUGGAAGUUCCCAGGUUAGGGGUCUAAUCAGAGCUGCAGCUGCCAGCCUACACCACAGCCACAGCAACACCAGAUCCGAGCAGCAUCUGUGAUCUACACCGCAUCUCACGGCAACGUGGGAUCCUUAACCCACUGAACAAGGCAAGGGAUCGAACCCAUAACCUCAUGGUUCCUAUGGGAUUCAUUUCUGCUGCCCCACAGAUGGGAACUCCGGUUGUGGAAUUUCUGAAGGCAGUCAGAACUUUAUUAUUUUGGGGGGAGGCUGGGGGUGAAAUAUGGAAAGUCAGCCGGUGGGAGAGAAAAGGAGAAAUUGUACCUGAAGGUGCUUGAGACCCUGGGGCAGGAAGAGGAUGAUGUCGUUUAUGUCAAUACCGUUCUUCUCCUUCUGCAGCUGUGGGGAGGGUAGGGGCCGGGCGGCACUAGGGAGAUGGGAGGAAGGGUCAGCAGGCCAGGUAGGGGGGUAGGUUGGGAUCUGAGGAGGGUGUCCUGAUCUUGGAGCCCCUGCUGUGCUUUUCCAGGUUCUGGGUCAGGGAGGGAGGUCAAAAGGACUUGCAAAUCUGCAUGGAGUCCUAGGGUGCAGGUGUGGGAGACCCUGCAGAAGGAGGCCAGGACUCUGUAGCUGCCCGCAGCUCUGGGAGAUGUGCUGAGGAGCCACGUGCAUCCUCAACCUGCAGUUUGUCCCAGGAUUGGGAGGAUGGAGGAGACCAUACAGACUGUGUUCUCAUCUCAGAACCUUUUAAAAUUAGCAGCGGACCACUCCAGAGAGCCAGGAUAAAGGGUGCAGGUGUCAGGAGAUCCACAGCGUCCUGGAGCAAGCCCUGGACGGGGUUCUCACUCAGAGUUCUGCCAACUGGUGGGGAGACCUCUGGAGGGACAACACUGCUCGUCUUGGCUUCAGUUUCCCCACGUCCAAAAUGGUGGAUUGCACUUGAAGGUUACCAGCCAGCCACCGAGAGCCAUCCCAAAGCAGUUUCCUUGAAUGACCUUGGCUGCGACCCAGGGACACCAAGCAUCAAACCCAGGAGUUGGUUGCAGAGCCUGGAAGGACCUGUCUGGGCUGGCUGCAGGAUUAACUUUGUGGCCGACGGUCCAGCAGCUAGAGCCCCAAGGUGAGUGUCCACACCAUCGGGGACAUCGGAGCAGGGCUAGGGAGUAUCCCCGACCCAGUGGUACCUCCAUCCACAUGAGUGUUUACUGGGGCUUGUUUGCCCGCCACUGUGCCUGACCACUUGGCAUAGCACCAUCCUGACGAAUUCUCACUCACAACAUUGCAGAGUGGUACAUCCUCUAAUCCUGCAAGUGAAGAGUCAGGAGAUGGAAAUGGACACAGAGAGGUUAAGCUGUGAAUUACUUCCAUCAGCUGCUCAGUGGAGGGCCUGGAUUUCGGCUGGGAACCCUGACCCGUGGGGGUGGCGUGCUUUGGAGUCACUCACUGCUGUGACUUCCAGAAGCCUUCCUCGAGUCAAGGACAUGAAGACAGGUGGGGUGGGCGCCCGUGCUUGCUGGGACCCCCCUCCUCCCUGUCUGCCUGCCGGCCCUUCCUGGCCUGCUCGCUCUCUCCCUCUCAGGAUCCUGCCCGGCAGACCCUCCAGCCAUCUCAGACCCUGAAGACCGGUGGGUCUGGGCGAGGGGUGUGAGGCUAUUGCCCAGCAUUUCAAGGGUGGAGGGCAGGGGCAGGGGCAGGGGCAGGACACACUCCGGGGAGGAGAAUGGUCUCUGCGGUUUCCAGGGGCCCUCCCCUCUCACCACGUGGGACCUCACACCUCCAUCCCACUUCCACGCUGAGACCUCCCCCCACAGCACGAGCCCACCCUGCUCAGCCAGGUCAGAGGGCACUGGCUGUCCAGCCUUGACCCAGAGCCCAGGGUAGCCCCAGGCUCCAUCUCUCUGGCCCUUCCCUGGCCACCCGCCCCCCCAUUUCAGGGGCCACUUCCAGAGCCCCUUCCUUCCGCCCUCACUUCCUGGGCCUCUGUGAUUUUCAGGGAUUGAGAUUCAAGGAGAAAGGGCACCCCUCCCUGGCUGCGUCUCUGGAGGCUGGUGGGCUCUUGGGACAGGGAAGGGACAGCAGGACAGAGGACGUGAGGUCCCCAGGGACGCUGUGGUGUGAGGAAGGUGGGAGGAGUUUAAGCUGGGAGGUGGCAAUGCUUCAGCCCUUCUCGCCGCCUCACUUCCUUUCCUCCUUCAUGUGGUCAUUUUCAUCACCCCAUCCAUCCUCCUUUGCCUGCAGGACAAGCCCCAGAUUCUCCCAGGCACACAUGCACUUCUUUUACUUUAUUUAUUUAUUUUUACCAAAUAAAGUAUGGCUUUUGUUAAUAAUAAUGGACCAGUAUGGGUUAGUUAGUUAUAGCAGAUCCCAUGCGCUUGUUUGAAUUGUCAGAGGGGAUCUCCCUUUCUGUCACUGGCAAGCUGUGCUGGGUGGGGAGCGGGGAUGUGUCUGGAAAAGAAGCUAUGAGGGAACUGGGGUGCUCUCUUAGAGGUUGGGGUCUAAUUCUUCUUUUGGUGGUGUGUUGUCUUUUUCUUCUUUUUUUUUUUGGUCUAAUGUGUGGUUACGUUUGUGAAUGUGUUCCAUGGGCAUCUGCAAGAGAGUUCUCUUCUCUGUUUUCAGGAUACAGAAUUCAUUACCUAGAUCGGUUGGAUUUGCCUUAUUCAGUUGUUUAGGCUUUUUGCAUUCUAUUAAGCUCUUUCUACAUCCAUUUCUUUUUUGGUCCUUUUGAUUUAUCCUGGGCUGAGAGAAAUGAAUUAGUGUUCUCAUAUUCAUGUGCUUCUAUUUUUUUUUUUUUUUGUCUUUUUGCUGUUGUUGUUGUUGCUAUUUCUUGGGCCGCUCCCGCGGCAUAUGGAGGUUCCCAGGCUAGGGGUUGAAUCGGAGCUGUAGCCACCGGCCUACGCCAGAGCCACAGCAACGCGGGAUCCGAGCCGCGUCUGCAACCUACACCACAGCUCACGGCAACGCCUGAUCGUUAACCCACUGAGCAAGGGCAGGGACCGAACCCGCAACCUCAUGGUUCCUAGUCGGAUUCGUUAACCACUGCGCCAUGAUGGGAACUCCGCCUGCUUCUAUUUCUUAUAUAUUUUUUAUAGGUUUAGCUCUAAAAAUGUUGAUAACUUUGCAAAUGGGCACAUAGAUGUCCAUAACUGUCAUAUCUUCAUUGUGAGCUACACACUCUGCCGUUAGAAAGUGUCUUUCGUUGUGGCUUUGCGGGUUAAGAACCUGACAUAGUGUCUGUGAGGAUUCGGGAUGGAUCCCUGGCCUCGCUCAGUGGGUUAAGGAUAUCAAAAGUGGUCCAACGUUACUGUCCUUAAGGAAAUGCAAAUUAAAACCACAGCGAAAUACUAUCACACACUGAUAAAGGACAGCUAAAAUUAAAAAGUACUUCCAAGAAAUUUUCCAGGUUAAGGAUCCAGACUUGCUGCAGCUGUGGUGCAGGUUGCAGCUGUGGUGUGCGUUCAGUCCCUGCCCUAGGAACUUCCACAGGCCACAAAUGUGGCAAAAAAAAAAAAAUGUAUAUGUAUAUAUGUAUAUAUAUAUACACUGACAGAAGUUCUCUGGUGGUUUAGUACAUUAAGGAUCCAGCGUUGUCACUGCUGUGGCUCGGGUCAUUGCUGUGGUAUGCAUUCUGUUCCUGGCCCAGGAAAUUUCACAUGCUGUGAGUGUAGACAAAAAGAAAGAAAAAAUUUUUUUGAGCUGUUGAGUAUAAACAUUUUGAAUAAAGAACUUUUUUUUGGUGUAUUUUAAAAUGGAUACAUAGGAAAUUGACCUGCCUUUUUCAUCAAAAAUGAGAAGUCUAGUAGGAAUUACACAGUACAGCCAGAGAAUGCACACAACCCAACAUUAAAAUGUUUGGAUUUGAUGCUUAUUUAUGUUAUGGUUUAUUCUCUGAUCUGAGUUUGAAUGGGGAACCUUCAUAUGUUUUUUUCCUUUUGUCAUGCCCAUGGCAUGCAGAAGUUUUCCGGCCAGGGAUUGAACCUGCGCCACAGCAGUGACAGUGCUGGAUCCUUAACCUGCUAAGCCACCAGGGAACUGCUUUCCUAUAUGUUUUAACUGUGUUUAUUUGGGGUUUUAUUUAAUCUGAGGUAAGUGAUAAUUGGAAGCAUCUUAAAAUGUAAAAUUAGGAGCUGGUAUCCAUGAGGACUCAAGCUCGAUCCCUGGCCUUGCUUAUUAGGUUAAGGAUCCAGUGUUGCCGUGAGCUAGGUGUAGGUCCCAGAUGUGGCUCAGAUCUGGCAUUGCUGUGGCUGUGGCCGGUAGCUACAGCUCUGAUUCAACCCCCUGGCCUGGGAAUUUCCAUAUGCUGAGGGUGUGGACCUAAAGAGACCGAAAAAAAAAAAAAAGAAAAAAAAAA